rnacentral:lncRNA from 1 species
CAUCAACUUAUUUCUACCUUGAGUGUUGCCUUGGGAAGUGAGAACCAAGAACCAGACCAGGCAGAACCAGCAAUAAGAAAAACCCAACAGAGAAGCUACACAGUGCCAACUUUAACCAUCCUGCUUCCUCCUUCCUGCCCAAAACCCUGAAUGGUUUUCAGAAUGGUACCCUGCCUGCAGAGGUUAGAGGUGGUGGCUGGUCUUCACUGCAUUCCUUCUCUGAGAAUAAAACAUGGAAAAAUCUUCCAGGGACUGGACCUCCCCAUUCCAUUAUCCAAAGUUCUAAGGAUCCUUCUACACACCCGAGUUGCUCAAAUGAAGACCUCUCUGCCCCUAGAGGUGCCAGUUACAAGGACUGCUUGUGCUUGAGCCAUCAAGAAGGAAAUUGUUUUAUUCUCCUUCUUUCUAGUGGAAAUAUGACCAAGGGGACAAAGUGAAGUCCUUCCUCCCCUCGGAACUCAAAGCUACCCUACACCUUCUCCCUGAAGAAGGAAGAGCCUGGGGGGUCUCUUUUGGAGCUCUCAAGAGUCCUCUCAGUCUGCUUAGCUUCCUUGGAGCUUCCAAGAGAAUCUGCAUGUUCCUUUUUUUAUCUGAUCGCCUCCACCCUCCACACUCACUGUUCUGGCUUCUGGCCUCAUUUAAGGGUGAUGAAAUCCAGAGACAGAGAAAUGAAAUGCAUAGUGGAGAGUCACAAGGCAAGUUAUGGGGAGAGCAAUGAUUCAGACUUCUUGCUCUGAUGGGGCAAGCCUGGAUGACUAAACUAUCUUAGGUCAGACCAUCCUGCCAGGGAGACUCUAUUCCCCAAAUAAUGGAGGGCUCAAGGAAUGGAGUUCCAGAGGCUCAAUGGGGAUCUAUUAAGCUGGGCAGCAGAGGACUGAGGACAGAGCAGAUCUUAACCAACUCCACAAGUAACUUCAAGUUUAUUGCCUUCAUAAGCAAUUAAACUCUUACCCACUGGAGACAUCGUUCCCACAAUGAACUAGAAUUGGCCUGGCCCCUUGUUACACUCACUUGUACCACUGACCCCAAUUCAACCCACCCGACUUGCUCCACUUUGGUUUAAAAGUACUCCUCAGAAAAUGGAUAUGUUUUUUGAAGAAUAGAGGUUAUUUUAUAUACUCUCAAGCUUAGUUGGUGACAGCUUGUGUGGCUGAACUCUUUUAUUUCUCUCUUCUUGUUGUUAUUUUUUGUUCCAAAAGAUGGCUCCCGAACAGGGCAAGAGGAAUAUAUUUAGUAAUGAAGGUGAUACAAAAAACCCAAAAGGUACCAAUAGCCUUUUUUUUUUUAAGUGUGGGUAUUAGGUAUUAGAGAGAUGAUAUU